rnacentral:rRNA from 1 species
CACGUAGGGGGCAAGCGUUGUCCGGAUUUAUUGGGCGUAAAGAGCUCGUAGGCGGUUCGAUAAGUCGGGUGUGAAACCUCCAGGCUCAACCUGGAGACGCCACCCGAUACUGUCGUGACUAGAGUCCAGUAGGGGAGCGUGGAAUUCCUGGUGUAGCGGUGAAAUGCGCAGAUAUCAGGAGGAACACCGGUGGCGAAGGCGGCGUUCUGGACUGCAACUGACACUGAGGAACGAAAGCCAGGGUAGCAAACGGG